GAUGAACGCUGACAGCAUGCUUAACACAUGCAAGUCGAUGGGGAAGUGGUGCUUGCACCCUGGCAACCAUGGCGGACGGGUGAGUAACGCGUAAGGGACUUACCUGCAGGACUGGGAUAACAGGGGGAAACUCCUGACAAGACCGGAUAAUGUCAUGGAGCUGCAUGGCUUUAUGAUGAAAGGAGACGCCUGCGGAGAGCCUUGCGUCCUAUUAGCUAGUUGGUGAGGUAAUGGCUCACCAAGGCGAAGAUAGGUAGCCGGCCUGAGAGGGUGGACGGCCACAAGGGGACUGAGAUACGGCCCUUACUCCUACGGGAGGCAGCAGUGGGGAAUAUUGGACAAUGGGGGCAACCCUGAUCCAGCAAUUCUGUGUGCACGAAGAAGGUUUUCGGAUUGUAAAGUGCUUUCAGCAGGGAAGAAGUAAGUGACGGUACCUGCAGAAGGAGCGACGGCUAAAUACGUG
rnacentral:rRNA from 1 species